rnacentral:rRNA from 1 species
UAGGGAAUCUUCCGCAAUGGACGCAAGUCUGACGGAGCAACGCCGCGUGAGUGAAGAAGGAUUUCGGUUCGUAAAACUCUGUUGUUAGAGAAGAACAGCGCAUAGAGUAACUGUUAUGCGUGUGACGGUAUCUAACCAGAAAGCCACGGCUAACUACGUGCCAGCAGCCGCGGUAAUACGUAGGUGGCAAGCGUUGUCCGGAUUUAUUGGGCGUAAAGCGAGCGCAGGCGGUCAAUUAAGUCUGAUGUGAAAGCCCCCGGCUCAACCGGGGAGGGUCAUUGGAAACUGGUUGACUUGAGUGCAGAAGAGGGGAGUGGAAUUCCAUGUGUAGCGGUGAAAUGCGUAGAUAUAUGGAGGAACACCAGUGGCGAAGGCGACUCUCUGGUCUGUAACUGACGCGGAGGCUCGAAAGCGUGGGUAGCGAACAGG